CACCAGCGCCACGAGUGGCCAUCGCGAUUAUUGGGCUUAAAGCGUCCGUAGUCUGUUCUAUGCAUCUUCUGUGAAAUCGCUGCGCUUAACGUAGCGGCAUGCGGAAGACACGGUAGAACUUGAGACCGGGAGGCGUCAGAGGUACUCCGGGGGGACCGGUAAAAUGGUAUAAUCCCCGGAAGACCACCUGUGGCGAAGGCGUCUGACGAGAACGGAUCUGACGAUGAGGGACGAAAGCCAGGGGAGCAAA
rnacentral:rRNA from 1 species